UAGGGAAUCUUCGGCAAUGGACGAAAGUCUGACCGAGCAACGCCGCGUGAGUGAAGAAGGUUUUCGGAUCGUAAAACUCUGUUGUUAGAGAAGAACAAGGAUGAGAGUAACUGUUCAUCCCUUGACGGUAUCUAACCAGAAAGCCACGGCUAACUACGUGCCAGCAGCCGCGGUAAUACGUAGGUGGCAAGCGUUGUCCGGAUUUAUUGGGCGUAAAGCGAGCGCAAGCGGUUUCUUAAGUCUGAUGUGAAAGCCCCCGGCUCAACCGGGGAGGGUCAUUGGAAACUGGGAGACUUGAGUGCAGAAGAGGAGAGUGGAAUUCCAUGUGUAGCGGUGAAAUGCGUAGAUAUAUGGAGGAACACCAGUGGCGAAGGCGGCUCUCUGGUCUGUAACUGACGCUGAGGCUCGAAAGCGUGGGGAGCAAACAGGAUUAGAUACCCUGGUAGUCCACGCCGUAAACGAUGAGUGCUAAGUGUUGGAGGGUUUCCGCCCUUCAGUGCUGCAGCUAACGCAUUAAGCACUCCGCCUGGGGAGUACGACCGCAAGGUUG
rnacentral:rRNA from 1 species